GACGAACGCUGGCGGCGUGCUUAACACAUGCAAGUCGAACGGAAAGGCCCUGCUUUUGUGGGGUGCUCGAGUGGCGAACGGGUGAGUAACACGUGAGUAACCUGCCCUUGACUUUGGGAUAACUUCAGGAAACUGGGGCUAAUACCGGAUAGGAGCUCCUGCUGCAUGGUGGGGGUUGGAAAGUUUCGGCGGUUGGGGAUGGACUCGCGGCUUAUCAGCUUGUUGGUGGGGUAGUGGCUUACCAAGGCUUUGACGGGUAGCCGGCCUGAGAGGGUGACCGGCCACAUUGGGACUGAGGUAAGGCCCAGACUCCUAAGGGAGGCAAGAGGGGGGAAUAUUGCAACAUGGGCGGAAGCCUGAUGCAGCAACGCCGCGGGCGGGAAGACGGCCUUUGGGGUGUAAACCGCUUUCGCCUGUGACGAAGCGUGAGUGACGGUAAUGGGUAAAGAAGCACCGGCUAACUACGUG
rnacentral:rRNA from 1 species